rnacentral:misc_RNA from 1 species
UUCUACUCAACACCUCAUUGGAGUUGCUCAUAUCUGGAAUCACUACAUCGUAAACUCGAUUCAACUUCUCAAAUUCAACUUUUCUUCUUCAAUUACUACACGUUUCUAAUCAGAUUUCGUCAAGAGCAGCGAAAGUGGUGGCGGAACUAGAAGACAACUAAGAAAUAAGAAAAAGAGCAAAAGAGCACACAGAGUUUAUAUAAAUUGCUCCCGUUCAAAACUGAUUUUUAUGAGUCUGUGAUGCUCUGUUCCCUAUUGCAAGUGCUCAUUCCACAAUCUACAAUUUUAAUUCGACUAAACGAAAACACAAACUCGGGAGAUUAUCAAAAGAUCAGAAGCAGUAGCAGUUCAAUCAGACGACUUCCCUUCACCUCGAGCAGGUAGUUUUUGGAAGGUUUCAGAAGAGACGGACGAACUUUAUCGGAGCUUCUGCUUCUUUCCAUCUCUUUUUUCUUUGCUGCUCUCCACACAAUCAUAAUCAUCAUCACGGAGCUGUUGGUAUGCGCUCCAUCGGCGGCUCAUUCCAUCUGCUGCAGCCCGUCGUCGCCGCUCUCAUACUCCUCGUCGUCUGCCUCGUUUAUGCGUUGCAAUCAGGGAGUGGCACGAUCUCAGAAUUCUCAUCAGAUGUGCUGUUCUCCAGGGCCAAGUACUCAGGUGUGCCAGUGCAUCACAGUCGAUGGCGUCAAGACGCCGGUAUACACGUCAUCGACAGCCAUCACAUCGUCCGAAGAGAUUCUUAUGGACGUCGUGGAAAACGUGAUGUCACGUCAACAGAUCGGCGACGUCGACUCCAAGGAGUUGCCAGAGACUGUGGACAUGCUUGUCACUUACGAUUACGAUCAGAUGAUGCCGUCUACAUCGUUCAUUUGCACAGAUGGAAUCAAAUACCGGACUCACAUAACAAAAGUGUUCCCCACUUUUCCAAUUCAAAUUUCGCGCCGAUGGUCUUAUAUUUGGACUCGGAGGAGGAGGUUAGAGGUGGAAUGUCUCGAACAGAUCCCGAUUGUAUCUACCGUGCACACGUUAAAGGUGUACAUCAGCACAGCAUCGUCAAUUUAUGCGACUCGGAAGACGGAUUGUACGGAAUGCUUGCACUACCCAGCGGAAUCCAUACGGUUGAGCCAAUUAUUAGUGGAAACGGAACAGAGCACGACGGAGCAAGUCGCCAUAGGCAACAUCUCGUCCGAAAGUUCGAUCCAAUGCACUUCAAAUCGUUUGACCAUCUUAACUCGACCAGUGUCAACGAGACGGAGACGACGGUUGCCACGUGGCAAGAUCAGUGGGAAGAUGUUAUUGAACGCAAAGCAAGAUCCCGAAGAGCUGCCAACUCUUGGGAUCACUAUGUUGAAGUCCUUGUGGUGGCGGAUACAAAAAUGUACGAAUAUCACGGAAGAUCUCUUGAAGACUACGUUCUCACUCUCUUCUCCACAGUUGCCUCCAUCUAUCGUCACCAAUCCCUUCGUGCAUCUAUCAAUGUCGUUGUUGUCAAGUUGAUCGUUUUGAAAACGGAAAACGCUGGACCACGAAUCACUCAGAACGCUCAACAAACACUUCAAGAUUUCUGUAGAUGGCAGCAGUAUUACAAUGAUCCAGAUGAUUCGAGUGUCCAACAUCAUGACGUUGCAAUCCUUUUGACGCGUAAAGAUAUUUGUCGAUCACAAGGAAAAUGCGAUACACUUGGACUUGCUGAACUUGGAACAAUGUGUGAUAUGCAAAAAAGUUGUGCAAUCAUAGAAGACAAUGGAUUGAGUGCUGCAUUCACAAUUGCUCAUGAAUUGGGUCAUGUGUUUUCGAUUCCUCAUGAUGACGAACGAAAAUGCUCUACCUACAUGCCGGUUAAUAAGAACAACUUCCACAUAAUGGCACCAACGUUGGAAUAUAACACUCAUCCAUGGAGUUGGUCGCCAUGUUCAGCUGGAAUGCUCGAACGAUUCCUCGAAAAUAAUCGAGGUCAAACUCAAUGUCUAUUCGAUCAGCCGGUCGAACGUCGUUACUACGAGGAUGUCUUUGUACGUGAUGAACCAGGAAAGAAAUACGAUGCUCAUCAACAGUGCAAGUUUGUAUUUGGACCAGCUUCUGAGUUGUGCCCUUAUAUGCCGACAUGCCGCCGUCUUUGGUGUGCAACAUUCUACGGAAGCCAGAUGGGCUGUCGAACUCAGCAUAUGCCAUGGGCCGACGGAACUCCUUGUGACGAAUCAAGAAGCAUGUUCUGUCAUCAUGGAGCCUGUGUUCGUCUAGCCCCCGAAUCCCUUACCAAAAUUGACGGACAAUGGGGUGACUGGCGAUCAUGGGGAGAAUGCAGUCGUACUUGUGGUGGUGGUGUUCAAAAAGGAUUAAGAGAUUGUGACAGCCCAAAACCUCGAAAUGGUGGAAAGUACUGUGUUGGUCAACGAGAACGUUAUCGGUCAUGUAAUACACAAGAAUGCCCAUGGGAUACUCAACCAUACCGUGAAGUUCAAUGUUCUGAAUUCAACAAUAAAGAUAUUGGAAUCCAAGGUGUCGCUUCAACGAAUACUCACUGGGUUCCAAAAUAUGCGAAUGUUGCACCAAAUGAACGUUGCAAGCUGUAUUGUCGGCUCAGUGGAUCUGCAGCGUUCUAUCUGCUUCGAGAUAAAGUUGUUGAUGGAACACCAUGUGAUAGAAAUGGAGACGAUAUUUGUGUAGCUGGAGCUUGUAUGCCAGCAGGCUGUGAUCAUCAACUUCAUUCAACUCUCCGAAGAGACAAAUGUGGUGUUUGCGGUGGGGAUGAUUCUUCCUGUAAGGUUGUCAAAGGAACAUUUAAUGAGCAAGGAACCUUUGGUUAUAACGAAGUAAUGAAGAUUCCAGCUGGUUCUGCAAAUAUUGAUAUCCGGCAGAAAGGAUAUAAUAAUAUGAAAGAAGAUGACAAUUAUCUUUCUCUCCGUGCCGCCAAUGGUGAAUUCCUACUUAACGGUCAUUUCCAAGUAUCACUGGCUCGCCAACAAAUUGCAUUCCAAGACACUGUUCUCGAAUAUUCUGGUUCUGAUGCAAUUAUUGAACGGAUAAAUGGAACUGGUCCGAUUAGAAGUGACAUUUAUGUUCAUGUUCUUUCUGUUGGUAGUCAUCCACCCGACAUCUCAUAUGAGUACAUGACUGCGGCUGUUCCAAAUGCUGUAAUUCGGCCAAUAUCCAGUGCAUUGUAUUUGUGGAGAGUUACGGAUACUUGGACAGAAUGUGAUAGAGCCUGUCGUGGACAGCAAUCGCAAAAAUUAAUGUGUCUGGACAUGUCGACUCAUCGUCAAAGUCAUGAUAGAAAUUGUCAAAAUGUUCUCAAACCAAAACAAGCAACACGAAUGUGCAAUAUAGAUUGUUCUACAAGAUGGAUCACUGAAGAUGUGUCUAGUUGUAGUGCCAAAUGUGGAUCUGGACAGAAACGUCAACGAGUUUCUUGCGUAAAAAUGGAGGGUGAUCGUCAAACUCCAGCAUCCGAACAUCUAUGUGAUCGUAAUUCAAAACCAUCCGAUAUUGCCAGUUGUUACAUUGACUGCUCUGGAAGAAAAUGGAACUAUGGAGAAUGGACUUCAUGUUCUGAAACUUGCGGAUCGAAUGGAAAAAUGCAUCGGAAGUCAUAUUGCGUUGAUGAUUCGAAUCGUCGAGUUGAUGAGUCAUUGUGCGGCAGAGAACAGAAAGAGGCGACAGAACGGGAAUGUAACAGAAUUCCAUGUCCAAGAUGGGUUUAUGGGCAUUGGUCAGAGUGCUCUCGAAGUUGUGAUGGUGGAGUCAAAAUGCGUCAUGCUCAAUGUUUGGAUGCAGCCGAUCGGGAAACACAUACAUCCAGAUGUGGUCCAGCACAGACACAAGAACAUUGUAAUGAACAUGCUUGUACUUGGUGGCAGUUCGGAGUCUGGUCUGACUGCUCAGCUAAGUGUGGAGAUGGUGUACAGUAUCGAGACGCUAAUUGUACCGAUCGUCAUAGAUCAGUACUACCGGAACAUCGUUGCCUUAAAAUGGAAAAGAUAAUUACAAAACCAUGUCAUAGAGAAUCAUGUCCAAAAUAUAAACUUGGAGAAUGGUCUCAGUGUAGUGUUUCUUGUGAGGAUGGAUGGUCGUCAAGAAGAGUUUCAUGUGUUUCUGGAAAUGGAACUGAAGUCGAUAUGUCACUUUGUGGUACUGCAUCUGAUCGGCCUGCUUCUCAUCAGACAUGUAAUUUAGGCACUUGCCCAUUUUGGAGAAAUACUGAUUGGAGUGCUUGUUCUGUAUCUUGUGGAAUCGGUCAUCGGGAACGUACAACCGAAUGCAUAUACCGCGAACAAUCUGUUGAUGCUUCUUUUUGUGGAGAUACCAAAAUGCCAGAAACUAGUCAAACUUGCCAUCUUCUGCCAUGUACAUCUUGGAAACCAAGUCAUUGGUCCCCUUGCUCAGUCACUUGUGGAUCAGGAAUUCAGACUAGAAGUGUUUCGUGUACUCGUGGAUCUGAAGGAACUAUUGUUGAUGAAUAUUUUUGUGAUCGAAAUACUCGUCCACGCCUAAAAAAGACUUGUGAAAAAGAUACUUGUGAUGGGCCCAGAGUACUUCAAAAACUUCAAGCCGACGUACCACCAAUCCGAUGGGCAACCGGACCAUGGACAGCCUGUUCAGCAACUUGUGGUAAUGGUACUCAACGUCGUCUUCUCAAGUGCCGAGAUCAUGUUCGUGAUCUUCCUGAUGAGUAUUGCAAUCAUUUGGAUAAGGAAGUAUCAACAAGAAAUUGUCGCCUUCGUGAUUGUUCAUACUGGAAAAUGGCGGAAUGGGAAGAGUGUCCAGCUACUUGUGGAACUCAUGUUCAACAAAGUAGAAAUGUUACAUGCGUCAGUGCGGAAGACGGUGGUCGGACGAUUUUGAAAGAUGUUGAUUGUGAUGUGCAAAAGAGACCAACAAGUGCAAGAAAUUGCCGACUUGAACCCUGUCCAAAGGGAGAAGAACAUAUUGGAUCCUGGAUUAUUGGAGAUUGGUCAAAAUGCUCUGCUUCUUGUGGUGGGGGAUGGCGUCGUCGCAGUGUAUCUUGCACUUCGUCUUCUUGCGAUGAAACCAGAAAACCAAAGAUGUUUGAUAAAUGCAAUGAAGAACUAUGUCCACCACUCACAAAUAAUUCUUGGCAGAUAUCUCCAUGGACUCACUGUUCUGUAUCGUGUGGCGGGGGAGUUCAACGCCGCAAAAUCUGGUGUGAAGACGUGCUUUCCGGUCGUAAACAAGACGAUAUCGAGUGCUCAGAGAUUAAGCCUCGCGAACAAAGAGAUUGUGAAAUGCCUCCAUGCCGAUCUCAUUAUCACAACAAAACAUCAUCAGCAUCAAUGACAUCAUUAUCAUCUUCGAAUUCAAAUACGACGUCUUCCGCUUCCGCUUCUUCGCUUCCUAUCCUUCCACCCGUCGUCUCCUGGCAAACGUCUGCAUGGAGCGCGUGUUCUGCAAAAUGCGGUCGUGGAACGAAACGAAGAGUUGUCGAAUGUGUAAAUCCAUCAUUAAAUGUGACAGUGGCAAGUACAGAAUGUGAUCAAACGAAGAAACCAGUUGAAGAAGUUCGUUGUCGUACUAAACAUUGCCCGAGAUGGAAGACUACUACUUGGAGUUCGUGUUCUGUCACCUGUGGCAGAGGAAUCAGACGUCGUGAAGUUCAAUGUUAUCGUGGUCGCAAGAAUUUGGUGUCUGAUUCGGAGUGCAAUCCAAAAACUAAGCUCAACUCUGUUGCCAACUGUUUCCCAGUGGCUUGUCCAGCUUAUAGAUGGAAUGUUACUCCAUGGAGCAAGUGCAAAGAUGAGUGUGCUCGAGGACAAAAGCAAACUCGUCGGGUGCACUGUAUAAGCACUUCUGGUAAACGAGCAGCUCCACGAAUGUGUGAAUUGGCUCGUGCACCAACUUCGAUCAGAGAGUGCGAUACAUCAAAUUGUCCAUAUGAGUGGGUGCCAGGAGAUUGGCAAACGUGUUCAAAGUCAUGUGGAGAAGGAGUACAGACACGAGAAGUCAGAUGUCGUAGAAAGAUUAAUUUUAACUCAACCAUUCCAAUUAUAUUUAUGCUCGAAGAUGAACCAGCUGUACCAAAAGAGAAAUGUGAACUUUUCCCAAAACCAAAUGAAUCUCAAACGUGCGAACUUAACCCAUGCGAUUCGGAAUUCAAAUGGAGUUUCGGACCAUGGGGUGAAUGCUCGAAAAAUUGCGGUCAAGGUAUUCGACGUCGACGUGUCAAGUGUGUGGCCAAUGAUGGUCGUCGAGUUGAACGAGUCAAGUGUACCACAAAGAAACCACGUCGAACUCAAUAUUGUUUUGAAAGAAAUUGCCUUCCGUCAACUUGUCAGGAGCUUAAAUCUCAGAAUGUUAAGGCUAAAGAUGGAAAUUACACUAUUCUUCUUGACGGAUUCACUAUUGAAAUUUAUUGUCAUCGAAUGAAUUCAACCAUUCCUAAAGCUUAUUUGAACGUUAAUCCAAGAACCAAUUUUGCAGAGGUUUAUGGAAAAAAAUUAAUAUACCCUCAUACUUGCCCAUUUAAUGGUGAUCGUAAUGAUUCAUGCCAUUGUUCAGAAGACGGCGAUGCAAGUGCUGGAUUGACGAGAUUCAAUAAAGUUCGAAUAGAUUUGUUGAAUAGAAAGUUCCAUCUGGCGGAUUAUACAUUUGCAAAACGAGAAUAUGGUGUUCAUGUGCCAUAUGGUACUGCCGGUGAUUGCUACAGUAUGAAAGAUUGUCCACAGGGAAUAUUCUCAAUUGAUUUAAAAUCUGCUGGUCUGAAAUUAGUUGACGAUCUGAAUUGGGAGGAUCAAGGUCAUCGAACAUCCUCUCGAAUCGAUCGUUUUUAUAACAAUGCAAAAGUUAUUGGUCACUGUGGUGGUUUUUGUGGAAAAUGCUCUCCUGAGCGGUACAAAGGACUAAUCUUUGAAGUUAAUACAAAAUUAUUAAAUCAUGUGAAAAAUGGUGGACACAUUGAUGAUGAAUUGGAUGAUGAUGGUUUCUCUGGUGACAUGGAUUAA